rnacentral:rRNA from 1 species
GACGAACGCUGGCGGCGUGCCUAAUACAUGCAAGUCGAGCGGACUUUAUCCUUCGGGGUAAGGUUAGCGGCGGACGGGUGAGUAACACGUAGGCAACCUGCCUGUAAGACCGGGAUAACAUUCGGAAACGGAUGCUAAUACCAGAUAUGCAACUUGGCUGCAUGGCUGAGUUGGGAAAGACGGCGCAAGCUGUCACUUACAGAUGGGCCUGCGGUGCAUUAGCUAGUUGGUGAGGUAACGGCUCACCAAGGCGACGAUGCAUAGCCGACCUGAGAGGGUGAUCGGCCACACUGGGACUGAGACACGGCCCAGACUCCUACGGGAGGCAGCAGUAGGGAAUCUUCCGCAAUGGACGAAAGUCUGACGGAGCAACGCCGCGUGAGUGAUGAAGGUUUUCGGAUCGUAAAGCUCUGUUGCCAGGGAAGAACAGCCAGGAGAGUAACUGCUCUUGGAAUGACGGUACCUGAGAAGAAAGCCCCGGCUAACUACGUGCCAGCAGCCGCCGUAA